CCUACGGGAGGCAGCAGUGAGGAAUAUUGGUCAAUGGACGCAGGGCUGAACCAGCCAAGCCGCGUGAGGGAUGACGGUCCUAUGGAUUGUAAACCUCUUUUGUCAGGGAGCAAAGGGCGCCACGCGUGGCGUUCUGCGAGUACCUGAAGAAAAAGCAUCGGCUAACUCCGUGCCAGCAGCCGCGGUAAUACGGAGGAUGCGGGCGUUAUCCGGAUUUAUUGGGUUAAAAGGGUGCGCAGGCGGAAUGUCAAGUCAGAGGUAAAAUUUCGGGGCUCAACCCCGACGUGCCGUUGAAACUGGCGGGCUAGAGUGAGCGAGAAGUAUGCGGAAUGCGUGGUGUAGCGGUGAAAUGCAUAGAUAUCACGCAGAACUCCGAUUGCGAAGGCAGCAUACCGGCGCUCAACUGACGCUGAUGCACGAAAGCGUGGGGAUCGAACAGGAUUAGAUACCCCUGUAGUC
rnacentral:rRNA from 1 species